AAGUCGUAACAAGGUCUCCGUAGGUGAACCUGCGGAGGGAUCAUUAACAAAAUUACAUAUUUUAAUUAGCUCUUAAAAACAGCUACAUUAUUAUAUUUAAACACAUCGUGAACUAUAUGACUGACCAUUGGGAAAUUGAAACAAGAAAUUUAUUUUUCUUUUUCUCUUUUUCAUUGGCUUUUUUUAUAAAACACAACCAAUUUCACUUUGAUUUGGGGAUGUUUAAACAAAUAUUUAUUUAUUUGCUUUUCUUUUCCACUCAAUUUUACCAAUUAAUCAAUAUAUUUAAAAAAUUAAAAGUUGAUGCUGUGUGUUUAGUUUUUUCGAAAACUUUUCUCAUAUCAUUUAAUUUUUUUUUCUUUUUCUUAGAUGAAAAUCUAAAAAAUUUUAAAAAAUUUAAAAGCACAACUCUUAGCAACGGAUAUCUUGGUUCUC
rnacentral:misc_RNA from 1 species